rnacentral:rRNA from 1 species
AACGAACGCUGGCGGCAUGCCUAACACAUGCAAGUCGAACGAAGGCUUCGGCCUUAGUGGCGCACGGGUGCGUAACACGUGGGAAUCUGCCCUUUGCUUCGGAAUAACAGUUAGAAAUGACUGCUAAUACCGGAUAAUGUCGCAAGACCAAAGAUUUAUCGGCAAAGGAUGAGCCCGCGUAAGAUUAGGUAGUUGGUGGGGUAAUGGCCUACCAAGCCGACGAUCUUUAGCUGGUCUGAGAGGAUGAUCAGCCACACUGGGACUGAGACACGGCCCAGACUCCUACGGGAGGCAGCAGUGGGGAAUAUUGGACAAUGGGCGAAAGCCUGAUCCAGCAAUGCCGCGUGAGUGAUGAAGGCCUUAGGGUUGUAAAGCUCUUUUACCCGGGAUGAUAAUGACAGUACCGGGAGAAUAAGCUCCGGCUAACUCCGUGCCAGCCGCCGCAGUAAAAC